rnacentral:misc_RNA from 1 species
AAUUCUCAACCUGUCUAACUUGAAAGAGCUAGAUCAGGCUUGGAUGGUGGAGGUUGCUGGUUUCCCAGAAAUCAGCUCUUCUUAAAUGUAUUAGCAGAAACUUUGCUAAUUAUCUUUGGUACGAUAAUUAUCUAUACCACGGACAAUUGGUUCCUUCAUUGGAGGGUUUUGCUGCUUCUAAUAGUCUAUUCAGACAAUUCUUGACAA